rnacentral:rRNA from 1 species
UACGUCGGGACCGAGCGUUGUCCGGAAUCAUUGGGCGUAAAGAGCGUGUAGGCGGCCACUUAAGUCCUGCGUGAAAUCCUGCGGCUCAACCGCAGGCGGUCGUGGGAAACUGGGUGGCUAGAGUGCGGGAGAGGAGAGUGGAAUUCCUGGUGUAGCGGUGGAAUGCGCAGAUAUCAGGAAGAACACCCGUGGCGAAGGCGGCUCUCUGGAACGCAACUGACGCUGAGACGCGAAAGCGUGGGGAGCAAACAGG